UCCAUUUUCAGGUGGAGGAAAUGAAGCUUAACAAGGUGAAGUUAAAAAACCUUUAAAACCCGGAUGCCCAGGCCACACCCCAGUCACCCAGCGCAGGCCCAGCAUCUUGACCCCCGCCCACUGCAGGGCCUCCUGCCUCUGCCCUCGGCCGGGUUUAUAAGGAGGAACUCAGCAGCAACGCGGGGGUCUUGCAGCUCUCCCUCCCGCUCCGAGGAAAGUGACAGCGGGUCGUGACCCACAGGCAUACGCAGCAGCGUCAACUCCGUCCACCGUGAGUCAGAGCUGGAAGAUGUCAAGUUUCUCUGUUCUGUGUAUGCACGAUUCCAGGGAAGACCGUCAGUGUUCCUGUCCUUAGACAUGCAGUAAUACCUUAUGGCCACAAGGCGGCAGCUCCCAGCUCAAUGUAAGCUGAAAUGAAGAAAGUGAUGGGUUGUUAGUCAAGACAACUGAAACACGUUCAUCUUCCAUCUUUUCAAGGAAAAGCAUGUUGCGUGGGAGGUUUCUACUGGCCCAGGAAGUGGAAAUCAGUGAGUUGGAUUUUUCCUGUGCAUGGGACGGGAGCUUCCUGAGAAUCACUGGUCAAGCACGAGGGUCACUGCAAGACAAGGCCCUGGCGUCCCAUCCUGGCUCAGACUUCUGCUUGGCCAGUGGCUGGCUGGCCGAGCCCUGUGCCCAGCUGAGAUGAAGGGCCUUGUGGUGGCCAACAGGACUCAGAGAAGGAUAACGGAAAAGUGCCCAUCACUUCCUCCAUUGAGUGUGGCGAGGAAACCGAAUUUCUCCCGUGGGUCAAGUCAACAUCGAAGAAGGGAAUGGUCAGGUAUGAGCCUUCUUCCAGGUAUGAGCAUCCCAGCAGUGGGAUGCUGCUGGUCGGGAGGGCGAGGACACCUCAUAUGCAUAGAGGAGUCCAGAGUCGGACAUUUGGACGCCUUCUCCACGGAGGUGAGCCAACCUAAGCGACCACCUGGAAACAGAGGAGAGGGAGGGAAGGAAGGUGUCCCAGUGGGACCCACAGCCAUGCCCUCCUGUGCUGGUGGGAGCUAGAGAGAAGAGGGGAGAGUCUGUUUCUUCAUAGUCAGGGGAAAAACUUAACUUCUGAGAACAGUCUCCAAGGGACAAAACAAAAAACAACCCAAGGAAGGGCUGUGCUUCCAGAAAUGGGGAAGUGGUUCCCACAAGCCCAGCCCUGCCUUGUAGAAUGAUCACCUUUCAACAAAACAUAAAACAACAAGUGCCUGGAGCCUCUGGAGAGAGACCAAAGGCGCAGAAACUAAAGGGAACCAGGUGUCCGGAAAAGGAUGGACAGACGGAGGAUGGACAGACGGGCCGAGAGCCAGGUGUUCACGCAGGAUCUGGGUACUGAGCGUGUGGGUGUUCCCUGCACAGUUCUUUCAACUUUUCUGUGUGUUCAAAAUUUUUUACAAUACAAUAUUGGUGAAAAAAAUCAUUGGAGUGAAUUUGACUCCAGCAGUAAAAAAAAAAAAAAAUCCAAGUUAUUAUUAAGUGUAGUUUUACUCCAAUGUCAAUAUCAUGUGUCUAGUUGUAGCCCAAUAUCUAACACACGUACAGGGGAACACAUCUAACGUGUUAGAUUUCAUGCCAGAAUAAAAUAAUUCAUCACUUGUAUUUCCUGAUUUAUUUUCAGUGACUCACAAAUGUUUGUCUCCUAUAUGCGUGCUUUGUAGUCACAUAGGUUGAUCAG